GGGGGUGGAUCAUAGGUCAGUGGCAGAGUUUCUGCCUUGCACACAGAAGAUCCCAGGUUAGAUUCCUGGCGUCUCCA